rnacentral:rRNA from 1 species
GAUGAACGCUGGCGGCGGGCCUAAUACAUGCAAGUCGAGCGAACAGACGAGGAUCUUGCUCCUCUGACGUUAGCGGCGGACGGGUGAGUAACACGUGGAUAACCUACCUAUAAGACUGGGAUAACUUCGGGAAACCGGAUCUAACACCGGACAAUAUAUUGAACCUCAGGGUUCAAUAGUGAAAGACGGUUUUGCUGUCACUUAUAGAGGGAUCCCCGCCGCAUUAGCUAGUUGGUAAGGUAACGGCUUACCAAGGCAACGAUGGGUAGCCGACCUGAGAGGAUGAUCAGCCACACUGGAACUGAGACACGGUCCAGACUCCUACGGGAGGCAGCAGUAGGGAAUCUUCCGCAAUGGGCGAAAGCCUGACGGAGCAACGCCGCGUGAGUGAUGAAGGUCUUCGGAUCGUAAAACUCUGUUAUUUGGGAAGAAGGAAAGUGUAAGUAACUAUACACGUCUUGACGGUACCUAAUCAGAAAGCCACGGCUAACUACGUG